GAGGACCUCGACACCAUAAUGAUGGUGUCGAGACUAGCGCGUGAUUUGGAUUUAAGUGAGGGAGAGUUGCGCAGCGUCAGCCUCACUCUCUCUUCCCAAUUCCCAUCUGGAUCCAGUGGCAAGACAGAGUCUAGACGGCUGGAGAUGCAAUAAUUUGAUAGAAUGCCAAUGGUGUUUGUUUCACUUCAGACAUCUUCCAGAUCAUAAUGAAGUGAUUUUUCUGAGGAAUCCAUUGGACACUAUGUUAUUUGAGUGAUGUCUCAUCUCAGCUCCAAACUGGAAGAUCCACAGUGACAUUCUGAAAAAGAGUCCUUCAAUAUUUGGGAAAGUUUUGAGGUUCUUUUGAAGACCCUGAGCUGGAGUUACACACUGACUUCAGUUCUUUGCGGGAAUGGGACCAGCUCUCGGAGUUUCAUAACCGGCUGUUGUUGUUCGUCAUGCCAAGGGCUCAGCCUAAGAGUCUGGCUCAGAUUUGGAAGCCUUGGAUCUUAGGGCUCUGGAGUGGGCAGAUCGAGGGUCAGUGUCUCGGCAGGAGGCCUGUGUGUCGUCAGGGGAGUCAAAAUAUCUACGGCUGGAGACCCGAGAUCUUCGGGCACAGAGCUCGAUAAAAGCGACGUAAUGGACUUUUACCAUCGUAAGCCAGAGAGUUGUUUGUUAUGUCUCCUCACUCACUGGGAAAAUGGAGACACCUCCUUCUCCCUUAUUAGGGAGAGAGAGAGCCUAUGGAUACUGACUCACCAGCAGUUGGACCUUCCAGAUUCAGGUGUAUUUUUACUACAAUCAAUUGAAGCAACUUGACUGCACACAGGUCUCCAAAAACAGAUCUCCGUUUAACUAAUUAUAUGACUUCUAAAACCAACUGGCUGCACCAGUGAUGAUUUGGUGUGUAUUAAAGGGAGGUAAAUACUUAUGCAAUCAAUUAUUUUGUGUUUCAUAUUUGUAAUUAAUUUAGAUCACUUUGUAGAGAUCUGUUUUCACUUUGACACGAAAGAGUCUUUUUCUGUUGAUCAUUGUCAAAAAAGCCAAAUUAAAUCCGCUAUGAUUCAAUGUUGUAAAACAAUAAAAUAUGAAAACUUCCAAGGGGGGGGAGGGGCCGAAUUAUUUUUAUAGGCACUGUACGUGCAAAAAAUUGAAAUUCAGAAGACUGAAAUUUAUAAAUUUAUUUAAUAAAAUAAGGUCUUAUCAAGUAACAUUUAACAUGAAAGAGUAUAAG